UCUAACGUGGCAGAACACUAUGCGAUGAGUUUAAGAUUCAUUUAUAAAUAAAUAUAUUUCUUUAGAA
rnacentral:tRNA from 1 species